rnacentral:tRNA from 1 species
GGCCCCUUAGCCAAGCGGUAAGGCAGUGGAUUGCAAAUCCGCCAUCCCCGGUUCGAAUCCGGGAGGGGCCU